rnacentral:misc_RNA from 1 species
ACAACAGUGAAAUUUCUAGGGGAGACACGGGAAAUGGCUAAAGACGGAAUAUCGAAUAUCGAUCGGCGUACGCUCAUCAAGGGCGCGGGAGCAGUUGGCGCGGGUCUUGCCGCAGGCACGCUCGGCGCACCGGCGGUAUGGGGCCAGGGCAAGAAAACCAUCCGCUUCCUGAACACGACAGCAUUCGCGCGCUGAAAGUUGCCUGUGCCGAGUAUGAGCGGAUGACAGGUACGCAAGUUAUUGUUGACUCGGUGCCGCUCGACGAUGCCUUCACCAAGGUGACGACGUCUCUGCGCGGCGGUCAGCCCUAUGAUAUCGCGACAUUCGCAUUCGUCGGUCACGUUCUGCUGCUGCAGGCCGAAGGGCAUUUGAUGCCGCUGACCGAACUGACCAGCAAGCACAAGUGGGGACCGAAAAUUCUCUUCCCCAUCAAGAAUGAGGUCUACUGGUAUCCCUACGACUACAAUCUGGCCUGGAUCUACUAUCGCAAAGAUCUCUACGAGAAGAA